GACGAACGCUGGCGGCGUGCUUAACACAUGCAAGUCGAACGGAAAGGCCCUGCUUGCAGGGUACUCGAGUGGCGAACGGGUGAGCAACACGUGGGUGAUCUGCCCUGCACUUCGGGAUAAGCUUGGGAAACUGGGUCUAAUACCGGAUAGGACCGCACUUUAGUGUGUGUGGUGGAAAGUUUUUUCGGUGUAGGAUGAGCUCGCGGCCUAUCAGCUUGUUGGUGGGGUAAUGGCCUACCAAGGCGGCGACGGGUAGCCGGCCUGAGAGGGUGUACGGCCACAUUGGGACUGAGAUACGGCCCAGACUCCUACGGGAGGCAGCAGUGGGGAAUAUUGCACAAUGGGCGCAAGCCUGAUGCAGCGACGCCGCGUGGGGGAUGAAGGCCUUCGGGUUGUAAACUCCUUUCGCUAGGGACGAAGCUUUUUGUGACGGUACCUAGAUAAGAAGCACCGGCUAACUACGUG
rnacentral:rRNA from 1 species